GACGGAGGGUGCAAGCGUUGCUCGGAAUCACUGGGCGUAAAGGGUGCGUAGGCGGUCUCGCAAGUCUGGCGUGAAAGCCCAAGGCUCAGCCUUGGAAGUGCGCUCGAAACGGCGAGGCUGGAGUGCCGGAGGGGAGAGUGGAAUUCCCGGUGUAGCGGUGAAAUGCGCAGAUAUCAGGAGGAACACCGAUGGCGAAGGCAGGUCUCUGGGCCACUACUGACGCUGAGAAGCGAAAGCAUGGGGAGCGAACAGG
rnacentral:rRNA from 1 species